rnacentral:rRNA from 1 species
AUGAACGCUGGCGGCGUGGAUAGGGCAUGCAAGUCAAGGGGGUCGCAAGACAACCGGCAGACGAGAUAGUAUAAAAUAGGUAACAAACCCAAAAGUCAGGAAUAGCCUGUCGAAAGACAGGGUAAUACUUGAUGGCCCGUGUGCGAACUUUGAACAGAAAUUUAUUUGUGUUUAAAGUUCGCGUACGGUAAAGAUUUAUCGCUUUUGGAUUGGCCUGUUCGGUAUCAGCUAGUUGGUAGGGUAAUGGCCUACCAAGGCAAUGACGCCUAGGGGAGGUGAGAGCCUGAUCCCCAUCGAUGGAACUGAGACACGGUCCAUACACCUACGGGUGGCUGCAGUCGAGAAUAUUCGACAAUGGGCGAAAGCCUGAUCGAGCGACGCCGCGUGCAGGAAGAAGUGCUUCGGUAUGUAAACUGCUUUUGUAGACUAGUAAUUUUUGAACAGUCUAAGAAUAAGAGGUUGCUAAACUCGU